GGGUUGUGAGGUUAAGCGACUAAGCGUACACGGUGGAUGCCCUGGCAGUCAGAGGCGAUGAAGGACGUGCUAAUCUGCGAAAAGCGUCGGUAAGGUGAUAUGAACCGUUAUAACCGGCGAUGUCCGAAUGGGGAAACCCAGUGCAAUUCGUUGCACUAUCGUUUGAUGAAUACAUAGUCAAACGAGGCGAACCGGGGGAACUGAAACAUCUAAGUACCCCGAGGAAAAGAAAUCAACCGAGAUUCCCCCAGUAGCGGCGAGCGAACGGGGAGCAGCCCGGAGUCUGAAUCAGCUUGUGUGUUAGUGGAAGCGUCUGGAAAGUCGCAGGGUACAGGGUGAUACUCCCGUACACUAAAACACACAGGCUGUGAACUCGAAGAGUAGGGCGGGACACGUGGUAUCCUGUCUGAAUAUGGGGGGACCAUCCUCCAAGGCUAAAUACUCCUGACUGACCGAUAGUGAACCAGUACCGUGAGGGAAAGGCGAAAAGAACCCCGGCGAGGGGAGUGAAAAAGAACCUGAAACCGUGUACGUACAAGCAGUAGGAGCCCACUAGUUGGGUGACUGCGUACCUUUUGUAUAAUGGGUCAGCGACUUAUAUUCUGUAGCAAGGUUAACCGAAUAGGGGAGCCGCAGGGAAACCGAGUCUUAACUGGGCGUUAAGUUGCAGGGUAUAGACCCGAAACCCGGUGAUCUAGCCAUGGGCAGGUUGAAGGUUGGGUAACACUAACUGGAGGACCGAACCGACUAAUGUUGAAAAAUUAGCGGAUGACUUGUGGCUGGGGGUGAAAGGCCAAUCAAACCGGGAGAUAGCUGGUUCUCCCCGAAAGCUAUUUAGGUAGCGCCUCGUGAACUCAUCUUCGGGGGUAGAGCACUGUUUCGGCUAGGGGGUCAUCCCGACUUACCAACCCGAUGCAAACUACGAAUACCGAAGAAUGUUAUCACGGGAGACACACGGCGGGUGCUAACGUCCGUCGUGAAGAGGGAAACAACCCAGACCGCCAGCUAAGGUCCCAAAGUCAUGGUUAAGUGGGAAACGAUGUGGGAAGGCCCAGACAGCCAGGAUGUUGGCUUAGAAGCAGCCAUCAUUUAAAGAAAGCGUAAUAGCUCACUGGUCGAGUCGGCCUGCGCGGAAGAUGUAACGGGGCUAAACCAUGCACCGAAGCUGCGGCAGCGACACUAUGUGUUGUUGGGUAGGGGAGCGUUCUGUAAGCCGUUGAAGGUGGCCUGUGAGGGUUGCUGGAGGUAUCAGAAGUGCGAAUGCUGACAUAAGUAACGAUAAUGCGGGUGAAAAACCCGCACGCCGGAAGACCAAGGGUUCCUGUCCAACGUUAAUCGGGGCAGGGUGAGUCGACCCCUAAGGCGAGGCCGAAAGGCGUAGUCGAUGGGAAACAGGUUAAUAUUCCUGUACUUGGUGUUACUGCGAAGGGGGGACGGAGAAGGCUAUGUUGGCCGGGCGACGGUUGUCCCGGUUUAAGCAUGUAGGCGGAUGUUCCAGGUAAAUCCGGAACGUCACUAACGCUGAGGUGUGAUGACGAGGCACUACGGUGCUGAAGUGACAAAUGCCCUGCUUCCAGGAAAAGCCUCUAAGCAUCAGGUAACAUCAAAUCGUACCCCAAACCGACACAGGUGGUCAGGUAGAGAAUACCAAGGCGCUUGAGAGAACUCGGGUGAAGGAACUAGGCAAAAUGGUGCCGUAACUUCGGGAGAAGGCACGCUGAUGGUAAGUGAAGUGACUUGCUCACGGAGCUGAAAUCAGUCGAAGAUACCAGCUGGCUGCAACUGUUUAUUAAAAACACAGCACUGUGCAAACACGAAAGUGGACGUAUACGGUGUGACGCCUGCCCGGUGCCGGAAGGUUAAUUGAUGGGGUUAUCCUCACGGAGAAGCUCUUGAUCGAAGCCCCGGUAAACGGCGGCCGUAACUAUAACGGUCCUAAGGUAGCGAAAUUCCUUGUCGGGUAAGUUCCGACCUGCACGAAUGGCGUAAUGAUGGCCAGGCUGUCUCCACCCGAGACUCAGUGAAAUUGAACUCGCUGUGAAGAUGCAGUGUACCCGCGGCAAGACGGAAAGACCCCGUGAACCUUUACUAUAGCUUGACACUGAACACUGGUCCUUGAUGUGUAGGAUAGGUGGGAGGCUUUGAAGUGUGGACGCCAGUCUGCAUGGAGCCAUCCUUGAAAUACCACCCUUUAAUGGCUGGUGUUCUAACGUGGGCCCGUGAUCCGGGUUGCGGACAGUGUCUGGUGGGUAGUUUGACUGGGGCGGUCUCCUCCUAAAGAGUAACGGAGGAGCACGAAGGUCAGCUAAUCCUGGUCGGACAUCAGGAGGUUAGUGCAAUGGCAUAAGCUGGCUUGACUGCGAGCGUGACGGCGCGAGCAGGUGCGAAAGCAGGUCAUAGUGAUCCGGUGGUUCUGAAUGGAAGGGCCAUCGCUCAACGGAUAAAAGGUACUCCGGGGAUAACAGGCUGAUACCGCCCAAGAGUUCAUAUCGACGGCGGUGUUUGGCACCUCGAUGUCGGCUCAUCACAUCCUGGGGCUGAAGUAGGUCCCAAGGGUAUGGCUGUUCGCCAUUUAAAGUGGUACGCGAGCUGGGUUUAGAACGUCGUGAGACAGUUCGGUCCCUAUCUGCCGUGGGCGCUGGAGAAUUGAGGGGGGCUGCUCCUAGUACGAGAGGACCGGAGUGGACGCAUCACUGGUGUUCGGGUUGUCAUGCCAAUGGCAUUGCCCGGUAGCUAAAUGCGGAAGAGAUAAGUGCUGAAAGCAUCUAAGCACGAAACUUGCCCCGAGAUGAGUUCUCCCUGACUCCUUGAGAGUCCUGAAGGAACGUUGAAGACGACGACGUUGAUAGGCCGGGUGUGUAAGCGCAGCGAUGCGUUGAGCUAACCGGUACUAAUGAACCGUGAGGCUUAACCUUACAACGCCGAAG
rnacentral:rRNA from 1 species